AGAGUCUCACAGGCUUGCUCAUGAUAAUUUCAGACUCAGGCGUGGGUGAAGUGCUUCUCCCUAAUUUCUGAGAAGGUUUCACUAAAGACACACUGAUCGCACCUAGCUGGUUAUACACAUCUGACUAUGCUGUUCAGAAAGGUUCCAGUUCAAGCAGUAAAGUCAUACUUCCUCUCUGCAUCCCAAAACCUGACAAUGGAGGAGAACCCAUCCCUGAGUUUAUGGUACAUAUUGUUUCUACUGUGUGUCAAAUACAUUCAAUUACUCUUCCCUCUCUGGACACUCCAGUAUUAGAGAUGAAGCAAGGAUGAGUAUUUAGACUUGUAGUCUUCAUUUCACAUCUAACAUGUGACAAUCAACACCUGUUUUUACCUGUCACUUCAGGGAGGUAUGGGCAGCCAGGAAUGAAUAAGCAAUUUCUGUUUAUACUUAUCUUUGAUGUGAUCAACUAUGCUUCCAUAGUAAUAUCUUAUUCCUCUCUUCUGUGAAAUGGAAUGCCAGGAAGGAGAUGAUGUGCACAGCCCGGGAUUUCAACUGCAGUCAGCAUCUGACUGUGCUCUUCAGUAAGGUUCCAGUUCAAGCAAUAAAGCCAUACUUCCUUUCUGCAUCCCAGGAAGGUGACACUGGAUGAGACCCCUUCCC